GACGAACGCUGGCGGCGUGCUUAACACAUGCAAGUCGAACGGAAAGGCCCUGCUUUUGUGGGGUGCUCGAGUGGCGAACGGGUGAGUACCACGUGAGUAACCUGCCCUUGACUUUGGGAUAACUUCAGGAAACUGGGGCUAAUACCGGAUAGGAGCUCCUGCUGCAUGGUGGGGGUUGGAAAGUUUCGGCGGUUGGGGAUGGACUCGCGGCUUAUCAGCUUGUUGGUGGGGUAGUGGCUUACCAAGGCUUUGACGGGUAGCCGGCCUGAGAGGGUGACUGGCCACAUUGGGACUGAGAUACGGCCCAGACUCCUACGGGAGGCAGCAGUGGGGAAUAUUGCACAAUGGGCGGAAGCCUGAUGCAGCAACGCCGCGUGCGGGAUGACGGCCUUCGGGUUGUAAACCGCUUUCGCCUGUGACGAAGCGUGAGUGACGGUAAUGGGUAAAGAAGCACCGGCUAACUACGUG
rnacentral:rRNA from 1 species